CCAGGUAUGCAUCAUGAUUACUCUUUCAUCGUGUUGCCAGCGUUAAGAAUACAGCCUUAUAAAUAGGAAAAUGCACACUGGAGUGUAUAGUGUAUUUCUGUCUGCACUCGCAUCCACUUGUUCAGCUAGAAAGGAAACCACGCUGAGACUGUGUCAAAGAUGAACACGAACGGUCAGAUGUCGUUAUUCUGGAUUUUAUCCCUCGUCUUGGUCAGCGUUCAGUCCAGACAUCCUCGAGACGUGACACUGCGCCCGCUAGACAUCGCGAGGAACAGAGAACUGUUUUUGAGUGCCCUUCAGUCUUACUUCAGUACUAGAGGUAUUCACAUUGAUCAGACGGCCCCUGCAUUCAUCAUGUUUUCAACUAAAAAGCAAAACACCGAGAGCAUGGAAGUGGAAGGACUGAAUAUCACUGGAGACGGAAUGGAUUUAUUGAAAUAAGGGGGUCAAGUCACCCCAAGUGACCAAUAGGGUCUGUCACUUGAUAGAAGGAAUGCAGAUGGAGCCCAAGUUGUGAAUAGAAGCCUGUGAUCUGUGUAAUGAUAAUGGAAUUAAAGAGGACAUAAUCAAGCUUUAAAAAAUGUUUUCAUUUUUUUUAUUUUUAAGAGUUCAUUUUUAAUGCAUAUCACAAUUUUUGGUCAACACUUCAUGUGCACACUUUACUUUCUCUGCUCCUACACCUCACAUUCUAUGCCAGUGUCAGAGAAUAUAUGUUGCCCCCCCCCCCC